rnacentral:hammerhead_ribozyme from 1 species
AUCCAGAUGAUGAGUCAAAAAUGGGACGAAACGCGCGUUAUCUUGGAU